UUGACAUGUACGGAAGUUGCCAGAGAUGGCUUCGUGCUCGAAAGAGAGCCGUAACACAGGUGCUGCAUGGCUGUCGUCAGCUCGUGUCGUGAGAUGUUGGGUUAAGUCCCGCAACGAGCGCAACCCUUGUCAUUAGUUGCUACGAAAGGGCACUCUAAUGAGACUGCCGGUGACAAACCGGAGGAAGGUGGGGAUGACGUCAAGUCCUCAUGGCCCUUAUAGGUGGGGCUACACACGUCAUACAAUGGCUGGUACAAAGGGUUGCCAACCCGCGAGGGGGAGCCAAUCCCAUAAAGCCAGUCGUAGUCCGGAUCGCAGUCUGCAACUCGACUGCGUGAAGUCGGAAUCGCUAGUAAUCGUGGAUCAGCAUGUCACGGUGAAUACGUUCCCGGGUCUU
rnacentral:rRNA from 1 species